CAUUUUAUUCUUUUUCCUAACCCUAACUUAACCCUAAGAGACCGCCUCCUUCACUUCACCUUUCUUUCUAUUGUUCAGACAAACACAGCCCAUCUCCCUCUCUCUUUUGUAUGAAUUUCCUAACCCUAGUAGACAUAAGGAUGCCGCCUCCCUCCUCUCUCUCUCUCUCUCUUUCUCUGUAUCAGCUUUGCACUUUCCCUUACCUGACGCGCACACACACCACCAUUGGCAAGUUUUUCUACCAUAAAAACUCAAACAAGGGUGCAAAUAAGGCAAGGGCCGGCGACGGUACUCUAUCCCACGACUCUCUUUGCUCUCUCAUUUGGCACUCAACAACAAUCUCCCUCCGUCCAGGACCACACCAAAUCAGUCCAACACCCAUAUUGAGCUCAAAGAAUUAAUGUUGAAAAUGCCAACUAGUAAAUAAAAACUCUAUAGCUAUUUUGCUUGACUGGGAAUAAUUAAAAUAAAGGUAAUGAACUUGAGGACAAGGAUACCAAAAGGAGAAGACUUGAUAUUCUUGAUUGAUGAUGUUGGAAAUAUUAUAUGUUAUUUUUUUCAAGUUUGUAGUCACUCACUGUGAUUGUCUAGUUACUCAUAGGCAAUUUAUGAGGGACAAUUUUUUUUACAGUUUUAAGACUUGGAUUUUGGAUGACUAAUAAACUUUGAAUGAUUUUUCUAUUUUCUUUAAUUUAGGUAUGAAUUUGUGACCA